GACGAGGUCGUAGCUCCGACGACCACGCCACAGGCGGCGCAAAGAGCUGACGGCCCAGAUCCUGGCAUCGGGAGCCACGCCGCUGCGCCCGCCGAUGGCGACGGCGAGGAGGAGGAGGAGGCCCCGUCGCCGCGUCCGUCCUCCGCCGGCUGCUACACCUUCCUCCGCUCCGCGUCUCGCCGCGGCGGGCACUGGCGCCUCGACUCCUCCGCCUCCGCGUCCGCGGCGGCGCAUGUGGGUGGAGGUGGGGACGACGAAGGGAGAGAGGAACUUGUUCCCCCGUCGACCUGGCCGUGCUCGAGGCCGGGCCGGUGCGGCGCCUCCUCGCGGCGGCCGGGCGGCGGACCCGCGGUGGCGGUCGCCGUGGACGCGUUGCUGUUCGAGCACCUGUGGUGGCUGCAGCCGACGCCGACUUCGUCCCUCCCCUCACCAUCGUGGGUCAUCGAUUCCCCUAACAGCCGACCCCUCGCGCCGCCCGACUCCGUCGACGUCAUCCCUCCCCUUGCCAUCGUCGGCCGACGCGCCGCCACCGCGCCGCCGCCGCCCUCCCACGCAGCAGAUCCAUGCCGCAAGACGUCCAUCGGCCACAACCGUCGCUGCCCUCCCCUGCAGCAGAUCCACGCCACCGGCCGCCGCCCUCGAUCACAACGUGAUUUGGAGGUGGAGAAGCUUGGCUGCGGCUUCUUCGCCAACACCAGGGUCAACCUUGCCAACGAUAUGGUUGGGUUGGACUCUAUGAGGGUUUCGAGGGCGUGUGCAUUUGUUGACCAUGGCUGCGGCUGGGAUGUCGGUAGCGGUCGUUGUAGUGGCUGCGGCGACGAUUGCUUCUUCCUUGGAUGGGAGCCACCGUUCGCCGACCUUGCUGCCGCCGACGCCCGCAUAUCCUUCCAUGUCUGUGUGCCAGAGGUAAACGGCAGUUUCUUUCUGUUCUUCCACCCUCGGCCAUGGAGGAGUCACCGGUAUCUCUGGGCUGGCGGUGCUAGAACAGUACACACGGUCGUGUUGCCGGUGGAGCUGGACGGCCUUUUCAGGGAUUUGUGGGAUGCAAGCAGCAGCAGAAACAGCGACCGAGCACGUCCGAUUCCAGCUACGUUCAGCGUCAUGUAUGGGAAGGUGGGGAUCAGUGCCGACACACACCCCCAGUUCUACCUCCGAUUAUUUCUUCAGCGAUAGUCUUAAUUAAUAGCUCUUGUGGCCAGUCAUUGACAGGCAUGGUGUGUACUUAACUGCUUAUUGAAAUGGUCAGGUUUACUUUCCAUUCGU
rnacentral:lncRNA from 1 species